GCAGGCUGAUUAUGUAUCUCGACGUAUCACUUCUAACUGUGUAACGCAAAGCUAAAUUGAACACUAGAGUGUUUUUGCAAUUCCGAUUAUGUAAGACAAAAGACAGCCACAAUGCCUAGUGAUAUCGUUCUAGGCGCAAAAUUUUAUCGACAUUAUGCGACUAAAUAAAAUACACCCUUUCCCGGUACUACUUACUACGGGUGCGGCAUACUUUUGCACAUAUACGCAUUAUACUUGAUUUUGCUGUUUGUCUGUGGUGAAGUGAAGUGCCAUAGUUUCUUUGUUGGUAAACAAAGCCGUAUUAAAAUAUUAAUAAAAAAAUUGGUUUCGUUGGAUCAAAGUACUUGCUACUGCUAGUUUUUUGUUUUCAAUAGAAGUAAUUAAUAAAUCAUUUUAUCGUAUACAUUUUUAUUAGUGUUAAUAGUUAAUUUAUCAAAGUAAACGGCCACUUUUACAUAAAACAUUAUCUACACGAAAGUUCUUCAAAGUUUUAUCGUCUGCCUAUGAUUAAUUUAAUGGUCGUUGUGAUAAUAUGUAAAGUAUAUUGUAUAGUGUUUUGUUUAUUAAAGUUCAUCGCUUGCAACUAAAGAUGUCCGGGAAACUCAAUGAUCGCCUUGGCUUGGAUCAAACUUGGCGAUGGGUUGUUUUGGAGGGCCUUUGGAAAGUCAGGCUACUAAAUAAACCUUCCGUGUUCGCGUCUGCCAGUAGCGUUGUAUCAACAUGAAGAUGUGGGCUCUAAACUUUGAGUGCCAGGGACUGACUAUGGAAGUCUCCAUGUCGCUGGUCUCCAUUGAGGUGCAAAACACCUUGAAAAAAUUGGUGAUUCUGAAUCCUUCAUCUCUAUGAACGAUUCAUGAAGAAAGAAUUAAACAAACAUUUAAUGAACAGAUUUUUUAUAAGAUUAUUAUCAAUAAUGACAUUGCAUAUGAGAGAAAAUUGUCAAAUAUAAUUUCAUUUUAAUUUAAUAUAGUUAAUUAUGACAUCACUGUAUAUAAAGAAUAUGAUUAUUAUCAUUUGGUUAAUUUCAGUAUUACAUAGUAUUAGAUAAAAAUUUUAUUGUAAAAUUGCACAUCAAAAUAUGUUUUAUUAUCUAUUAUUAGGAGGAAAUAUUAUUUAACUAUUAUUAUUAUCCCUAAUAGCCCAGUGAAUGUGACCUUUGCCUCCAAUUCCGGAGGGUGUUGGUUCGAACCCGUUCCGGGGCACGCACCUCCAACUUUUCAGUUGUGUGUAUUUUAAGAAACUAAAUAUCACGUGUCUCAAACAGUGAAGGAAAACAUCGUGAGGAAACCUGCAUACCAGAGAAUUCUCUUAAUUCUCUGCAUAUGUGAUGUCUGCCAAUGUAAUCCAAAUAUGCUGGCCCAUAUUCAGCUCCUGUCAGAAUGAGAGGGGUUAGGCAUUGGCCUUCCCUUACCUUAUCAGCCGAUAGACGUCCACUGCUGGACAUAGGCCUCUUACAUGGACCUCCAAGCACAACGAUCUUGAGCCGCGAACAUCCAACCAACCGACCAACCACGCUUUCCAGUGCGGGGUCUCCCGAGUGCGGGUAGGCACUAACCCCUCUUACUGGGGGAGACUCGAGCUCAGCAGUGAGCCGAAUAUGUGUUUAUAAUGAUGAUGAUGAUGAUGAUGAUGAUUAUUUAAGUAAUUGUAAAAGAAAAAAUUUAAUACUACAUUAUAUCUAUACAAUUCAAUAAUUUUAAGAACAAAACAUGUACCUACCACAUUGUAGGAAAUAAAUAAAUAAUGAUUUGAUUAAAAACAAUGUUGUUUAAUGUUAAGCAGGUAGGGCCAGGUAGUUAAAGUAGAUACUCUAUAUUUGUGUAACAUCUAUUACUUAAAAAUAAAAAAUAUAUUUA